ACACUCCUCAAUCAAUAAUGCCGCCUUAUCUGCCUUCUAAAGAAAGGAUAAAUGGAAAAAGGAAGGAAGGAAAGCCACCGGUCCUGCAAAGAUUCCCAUAUCCUUGUGCUGUUACCUUUCUGGAUUCUGCCCGUUGCCUGAAAAGCUGACAGGAUCUGAAGGGGAUCAAACUCGGGUCCUCUGGCUUGCAAGGCAAACGUUGUAAGAGCCAAAAAGGUAUGUUUUAAGUUUUAAUUACUGUGCCUAAGAGAUCCAUGGAACAAAAAACUGUUGCUAACCUUUAAGUGUCUUGCCCAAGGACAGAUCUUUCCCCGAAAUGCUGGAAGCUAUGGGAGAAAACAAGCCACAUGCUUCACUCCCCUAAACAAGUUUAUUUGGCCUAAUCGUACUGGAUGUAGGUGUGAGGUACGUAGGCAGGAAAUACGUCAGGAUGUAUGCUUGCCCCUGAUUGGAUGUAAGUGGGAGGUACACAGACAAGAAGUGCUUCAGGAUAUAUGCUUGCCGCUGAUUGGACCUGCUGAGAAAAAUGUAACCUUAUGGGUUUGCCUUUAUAAGCCUCUGCAAAAUAUAUGACUUGUAGACAUUUUCUGGGAACCCAGGAAUGGACCUGGCUAGAGUCCAUCAUCUGGGCCAGUAUUCAAUUAAUUGCUUCAAAUAUGGCUCAAGAUGGUGGUAGUGGUCUUAUUCUUGCCCAGUGGGAUUAGCAACGUCUAUUGAGUUAUCACUUUUUAUACUUGGUCCUGUGUCCUAGCGGGAACCAUCAAGUAAACAGCCAUCGGAUAACUGAGAUUAUCUUUAAGCCUAGUUAAGGGACACACCCUCAAAGGGAGUCUAUGGGUCGCUAAGACUGUUUGAAAUUUAGAGGGUUGUCCAUGUCAAAGCAGGGCCUGUUGUAGGUACACUGGUUGGCAGGGAGUCCUGAGGGUUCCCAAAUAAAGCAAAGAUGUGAAUAAAGAGAAGGCAUGAGUACCCCUGAGCUGGAGUUACAGAAUCCCCCCCCCCC
ensembl:lincRNA Gm17250 predicted gene, 17250